GGAGAUGGGAGAGGGAGAGGGAGGGAGAUGGAGAGAGUGAAUAUUUAGAGAAACAUGGGAAGCGAGAUCAUCUGGAACAAACUGUUCACUGUGCUUGGGUUUGUCUUUGGGUGCGAGGACUUUGAUGUACAACAGGGUCUCUGAGUGCUGACGCUGUGGUCUAACAAUCCUCAACUAAGUUGAUUAGUCUACCUCUUGAGUAAAACAGGGGUGCGUGUGUUUGUAGGAGUUGUACGAGUUAAGAGGAUAACUUUAUUUUGGUUGUUUUCAUUCUUGUCUAAUGAUUGUUUUGCUGUCUACACUUUGGGGAGGAAGAGAGGGCGAGUUCAUAUCAGCAGAAAUAAUUCCAGAGUUAGCAGCGCUCUCUCUCUCCAGCCGUCUGGACUGUGGAUCGGGACUCCUCAUACACGCAUACACCUGUUGCUCAGGAUCCCGGUGAGGCUAAGUGCAGCAGCAGCCACAGUCUGUGGAUCUGUUCCUCUGUUCUGGAUUGGAAGCCUCUGUCUGUGGACGGUACUGUCGAGGCUUGACCGGACCUGCGUCUGUGUUCUGGGUAGAGUGUGGAGAUGUCAUCUAUGUACCCACGCACCAAGGAGCUGUCCAGGACUAGGAAGUCUCUGUCAGACUCACCACCCUCCUCACCCUCUCCCACGGCCAAGAACUUCAGACAUGACAGGGCAUCAAGGUUGGACUCUGGUGGUGGGGACAGCAAGGCUGAACCCCUGGGCAGAACCAGCUCCUACACACGGAGAGAGACCAGACUGGCAGCAUUGAACAAGCAGGAGGAUGACACCAGCCCCAGGGACUACAAGAAGAUGUAUGAAGACGCCUUGGCAGAGAAUGACAAGCUCAAGUCCCGGCUGGAUGACAGCAAACAUGAGCUGACCAAGAUCCGCUCCCAGCUGGACAAAGUCAACCAGAAACAGGACAGAAUAUCUGAAAGAUCCACUGUACUUGAAUCAGAAAAAAGGGAAAAACAGGCUCUGGAGAAGAGGGUAACAGACAUGGAGGAGGAGCUCAAGCAGGAAGCUGCCCCAGUGAGAAAUUUCCGCUGUGGGUACCAGCCCUGAGCCCCAAGCAUGAGGCAGGCUGGCUCAGGGCCAGGGAGGGGGGACGGGACGGUCUUGACAGAGCUCAAAUCAGACAACCAAAGACUGAAGGACGAGAACGGGGCUCUGAUUCGUGUCAUCAGCAAGUUGUCCAAGUAAAAGGGUGGUGCCCCCUGUAAAAAGUCAGACACGUCCCUGAUGCUUGCAACGUGUCACUAUCAUUAGCAUUCGGUACCCUUCCACCCUGACACUGAACCAUGGUGCUUAGUGACACCUACCUGCCAGCUGUUCUCAGAGGCAUGGUGAGGAACCUUCCAAAUCCGGAUGACCCCUGCCUCGACCCUUGAUCUCUAUGCUCUUAGGCCCACUUCAUACCAGUAGGUCAAAGGUGUGAAGAGCACACAGCGUCUGCACAAAGAGAGUGUUGGUCUGGGGUACAGUAAACUGCGAAGCUCCAGACCAGCAAUCUAAACAAUAUCACAUCCACAUAUUUUACCUGUACAUCACAAACAUACUGUAUUCAUUUUGUGCUUAAUUGUGCACUGCAAAAACAACUUUAUUUUUCUCAAACUACUGAAAAAGCACUCAUAGGAAUUACUUUAAAUAAUCUUUCAUUGCAGUGAUAACAUUACACAUUGCCAUGAAUGCUUCUGAUGUGAGAUGUUGUGACUUGUUUAUGAUCAAUCUUUAUGGUUUAUAGUUCAAUUUCCGUCACAGACCCUUUUCUCUGAGCUGCUCAUCAGUGUGGUCUACUAUAGUCUCUGAGAUGUCACAUUUGAUAGAUAUUUUAAUAAUUUAUUUAUGCAUUUUUUGGUUUAGAAUCUUUGAACCUAUACUCAACUAUAUUUGUACCGAUAUAGUAUUAAUGUGUCCUAUUAAACCAUACCGUUGGAGCCCACAUAGUAACUUAUAUUGGAAGAUGGACAGCCUCUUUUUAUUUCAAGUGAAACAUGUACAUGAUUUGUAAUGCACAGGGAACAACAUACAAGGGCCUUCUUUAUGUGCCUUUCCUUAAAGACCAAUACAGCUAUCAGUCUAAUGAACUGUACGUAUAUUUAAAGACAGUAUUUUAUGUUGAAAUAACUUUACCAUGUAUGUAAAUGUUAUACGAGAGCGAAAUACUGACAUUCUACUUGUACACACAGCUGUGGUUUGAUCACUUGCUUAAUAAACUAUAGAUGGUUAAAUAAUAAAUCAUCUGAGU